rnacentral:rRNA from 1 species
UACGUAGGGGGCAAGCGUUGUCCGGAUUUAUUGGGCGUAAAGAGCGUGUAGGCGGCCAGGUAGGUCUGCUGUGAAAACUCGAGGCUCAACCUCGAGACGUCGGUUGAAACCGUAAGGCUAGAGUCCGGAAGAGGAGAGUGGAAUUCCCGGUGUAGCGGUGAAAUGCGCAGAUAUCGGGAAGAACACCCGUGGCGAAGGCGGCUCUCUGGGACGGUACUGACGCUGAGACGCGAAAGCGUGGGGAGCGAACAGG